CCCCUAGUAACUGCGAGUGAAGCGGGAAAAGCUCAAAUUUAAAAUCUGGCAGUCUUUGGCUGUCCGAGUUGUAAUCUAGAGAAGUGUUAUCCGCGCUGGACCGUGUACAAGUCUCCUGGAAUGGAGCGUCAUAGAGGGUGAGAAUCCCGUCUUUGACACGGACUACCAGGGCUUUGUGAUGCGCUCUCAAAGAGUCGAGUUGUUUGGGAAUGCAGCUCAAAAUGGGUGGUAAAUUCCAUCUAAAGCUAAAUAUUGGCGAGAGACCGAUAGCGAACAAGUACCGUGAGGGAAAGAUGAAAAGAACUUUGGAAAGAGAGUUAAACAGUACGUGAAAUUGCUGAAAGGGAAACGCUUGAAGUCAGUCGCGUUGUCCAGGGAUCAACCUUGCUUUUGCUUGGUGCACUUCCUGGUUGACGGGUCAGCAUCAAUUUUGACUAUUGGAAAAAGAUUAAGGGAAUGUGGCAUCUUUGGAUGUGUUAUAGCCCUUGGUUGCAUACAAUGGUUGGGAUUGAGGAACUCAGCACGCCGCAAGGCCGGGUUUUUAACCACGUACGUGCUUAGGAUGCUGGCAUAAUGGCUUUAAUCGACCCGUCUUGAAACACGGACCAAGGAGUCUAACAUGCCUGCGAGUGUUUGGGUGGAAAACCCGAGCGCGCAAUGAAAGUGAAAGUUGAGAUCCCUGUCGUGGGGAGCAUCGACGCCCGGACCAGACCUUUUGUGACGGUUCCGCGGUAGAGCAUGUAUGUUGGGACCCGAAAGAUGGUGAACUAUGCCUGAAUAGGGUGAAGCCAGAGGAAACUCUGGUGGAGGCUCGUAGCGAUUCUGACGUGCA
rnacentral:rRNA from 1 species